GACGAACGCUGGCGGCGUGCUUAACACAUGCAAGUCGAACGGAAAGACCCUGCUUUUGUGGGGUGCUCGAGUGGCGAACGGGUGAGUAACACGUGAGUAACCUGACCUUGAUUUUGGGAGAACUUCAGGAAACUGGAGCUAAUACCGGAUAGGAGCUCAUGCUGCAUGGUGGGGGUUGGAAAGUUUCGGCGGGUGGGGAUGGACUCGCGGCUUAUCAGCUUGUUGGUGGGGUAGUCGCUUACCAAGGCAUUGACGGGUAGCCGGCCUGAGAGGGUGACCGGCCACAUCGGGACUGAGAUACGGCCCAGACUACUACGGGAGGCAGUAGUGGCGAAUAUGGCACAAGGGGCGGAAGCCUGAUGCAGCAACGCCGCGUGCGUGAUGACGGCCUUCGGGUUGUAAACCGCUUUCGCCUGAGACGAAGCGUGAGUGACGGUAAUGGGUAAAGAAGCACCGGCUAACUACGUG
rnacentral:rRNA from 1 species